rnacentral:tRNA from 1 species
AAGGCCUUAGCUUAAUUAAAGUAUUUGAGUUGCAAUCAAGUGAUGUGCGGUAAGUGUGCACAGGUCUUA